rnacentral:lncRNA from 1 species
GUUUACAUACACUUAGGGCCACAGUUUAUCUCUUUCUUCUUUCAUUUAUUUAGCAUAUAGAAAGGCAAAGCAAAUCAAGUCAAAAUACAAAUUGUUCCUAACUCAUAUGUGCACAGGUAUCAAUGAGCUGAUGUGUAUAUGAAAUGAUAACACUUUUUUUACAUAUAACUUCCAAGUCAUUUGAGCUAAAAAUAAAUCUACCAUUGACCCCAAGCAGGAAGUUAGACAUAUGAAAAAUUGCUCUGUACCUCUACAUAGGUGCAUUCUUCAAGCAAACAUGGAAUUGGAUACAACUUUCCUCUUGAUCAGUACAAAUUAGGGAGAAGAUAUCAUUUAAAUAUUGUGUAUUAUCUAAAACUCUCUGACUAUAUAACCUCAGAUAGAUUACAUAAGACAGAACUAGUUACAGGGCUGUUAUUUUUCCCUACUACCAAAACAUCGUUAAUCACAGAAGCAUUUCUGCUCAAACAGAAAAGCAGUAUAUUACAAUUUUAUUAUUUAAAGAUCUUGAAAACGGUUUGUAGACAAUAUUAUCAGUCACCUCCAGACAGUGGGAGGAGAAUGGGGGAAGAAGAAUCAGAUAGAGUUAGAAUUCUCAAAAGUUUAUAACAAAUAGACUUGAAUGUUUGUUCUAAAUACGAGUGCCUUGUUUACACAUGAUUAACACAAUACGAGAAGGCAUUCUAUAACCUAAACUAAUCCAAAUCCUACCUGCUUGACUAAUAGUGGCAGUCAUUAAUUGAUUUCGCAGUAGCUAGAUUUUUCUUUUAUCAUUUCACAAUCGGGUUGGCAAAAACUGAAAAGAUGUAGUAAUGAAAAACAGAGAAAAAUACUCCCAAAUGACAUAAAAAUGCAUUUGGAAGUUGCUUGGCUUAUUCAAGAUAAAAGCCUUGGAAAAAUUAGCCCUGGUAUCAUGGAAAAUAUUUUUGAAAUUUUGGUGACUCCUUGUUCUUCGUGAAGAAAAUAAAUCAUGGUAUCAGUGGAGCAGAAAACACAAGGGAAUUUUCAAUGAAAUGUUUUCUUUCUUUUCCACUGAUGCAAUAUUUGAAAUGGGAGCACAGGGCAUAUUUCUAAGCAAAGUAGUUUUCAACAAGCAUAGCUCUUUUCGGUAAAUCACCUGUGGUCUUAUGAACAAAUAAUUGUAGACAUCAAAUUAAAAGACAUGAAUUUAACAUACGAAUUGUGGUCUUUGUAACUGAUUAAAUCAUGUAUCAGUCUUCACAUGUCCUUUAUUCACAUUCAAAGCACUCUAAUCAGAGUGAAACAUUGCUUAGGUUUUGUUAGGACAUUACCACACUUUGUAAAUCAUCAUACUUUAUGAAGUAAUGACCUCUUUAUUACCUCAGUAGGAAGGUCUGCAUUCAUUUAUCACAUGGUAAAACUGGUCUUGAUCCUUGAAGAAACUAAGCAAGGAGUGAGAGCUCUGUUGUUCUGCUGAUGGGGCUCAGUCUGUUCUUCCUCUUUUCCAACAAUCACACUUAUUUCCAGGAAAGAGUUAGCAGUAUUGAUAUAGUCCAGGGACUCCUAGAAACACCUGUUGUGUUGCUUUGGUGAGCAGAUGCUGUUCAUCUUCCAUGGCACCUGUAUUUUAUCUGCAUGGAGAUGAGCUCAGCCAGAGUACUUCUCAGAGAGGAUACCACGUGGAUGCAAAUAAGAGCAGAGAAAGCACCGAGUAGUUACAAUGGUCCUUGCUGGGUGUUUGGAGAAGCUAAUUAUUUGAGAGAGAAACAAGCCUAGGAAAGACUUUUGGGAUUAGGUGAAAAGUGUACCCUUGCAGGGAGCAAGAAGCCAUGCCAUGCCCAGGCUUUCGAUCGCUCCACCACAGGAUAUCAUUGUCCACAGGCCCUAACUUUAGUUCUUGAUUUUUCCAACCUCUCUUUAAAGUUUAUUCUUAUUUUCCAAAACUUAGAAACCAUGCCCAAUGGAAUAUUGGCUGUGAAAUGAAUGAAUGUGUGUCUCUGUUAGAUCAGCCAGGCUGUUUCUCUUAACACAUUCCCCCGACAUGAUUCUGAGAUACAUUAACAUCACAAUGCUUUCUUGACCAUCGAGUCACACAGAAAUGAAACCAGUCUGAAAAGAUUUACUUUCCACAAGGCUAUUUAAGUUACGACUACAAUUUUUCUAGAGUCUCUUCUAGUUCCAAAGUACACAUAUAUGAGUUAUCUUUUUCUUUUCAAGACGAAUUUUCUGGUUAUGCUCCAUUGUAAAUCCCCUUUCGAAGUAGAAAGGACUUGUAAAUAAAUAAUAUGAGAAAUUAUUGUUACUUUUAUCUAGGUUGAGGGGUUUAUAUAAAUUCUGAGAAUAAUGAAGGAUUCUAUACUAUGUAAUCUAUGAAUCCCAUUUUUUGCCGAAGAUGUGACAUGCCAUGAGACUUUGCUGAUGUGAAUGGAUACUAUACAUCUUAUGUUCUUUUUCAAUCACUUAUUCUCCUACCUUAUGAUGCCUGUUUUAUUUUCUUGCCCCAAGUAAUGUUCUCUCUCAGUCUCUGAGGACUUAAUAGCUCCAUAAAGGCAAGGAUCUUUAAUUUUUUUUCGGUUUUAUUCACUGCUUUAUAUCUAGAGCCUAAAACGAUGUCUGGCAUACAAUAAACACUCAAUAUUUAUUGACUGUUGAAUGAGUUUUGGUUUUUAAAUUUAGAUGAUGAAAGCAAAUAUAUAUCUAGCCACUAGUAUGUGCCAAAUACUCUUUUAAGCACUUUACACCU